UUUUUUAGNNNCCCNGCNGACGCGGUUAGCAAGCUUGNUAUGUGUGCGGGCCGAAGCCUUUCUGCCNCCAGGUGUGGUUGCGUUCUCAUGUAGGAUUUGUGUACGGCCGAGUUGUCCCGCCGUGCCAAGGUGGUAACUGGAAUCUUCUUNUGUAGUCCUNCGUGUUGAAUGUUUNGCGGCUAGAAAAUUGAACUCUGAAAUCUGAAGCAAUUUNCCNCGGGGUGGGAGUGGGGCCCCUUNGGGGCNCGCUCCGGGUUUCGGGCUUGAAACANGCGGGUCGUGGGGAACAAACAGCGAUUCGAGACCCUGGUUGUCGACNCNUGUAAACGAUGGAGAAACUGCGAANGCGGUCCCGACAAGGCAGCAAUCUCCCGCCUGAGUANGUACGAUCGCAAGAUUAAAAUUCAAAAAAUUUGGCUGUUCACCGUUUCAAUUAGAGGAGCGUGUAGUUUAAUUCGAUAAACCGCGAGAUACCUUACCCAAACUUGAAUCCUUGAGGAUUCUAAGGAAUCCUUAUGGACCGGUAUUGCAUGGCCGUCGUCAGUUCGUGUAUGAAACUUAAAACGGACCCAACCCGAAGAUUAACCGCGGAUGAAGUCAGGUCUUAUGGUCCCAAUGUUUGGGGAUAAUAUGCGCUACAUUUUCUUAUACAAUGGGAAACCUGGGAGGUGAAACCCCAAAGUGAGAGUUCGGUAGGCUAUUGGAAGAUGGCCGAAAGUUGAAUUUAAUAGUAAUCGGAAAGUNAUAGCGUUGCGUUGAAAUGGUCUAGGUGUUAGCACAAAUCGCCCNAUAAAAA
rnacentral:rRNA from 1 species